CUCUCUGUUUGGUUUCGGCACUUUAGAAAGCCAGUGGCAGCGGCAGGCUGUUGUUGAGCCCUGACCGCAUCCUCCUCUUCCUGAGCCUCUCGGCAAUGAUGAAGGCAAGCUCAAGGGACUGGGAGGCGUUCAGCCUUGGGUCACAGUGGGUGUGGUAGCGGUCGCUCAGGUCAUCGAAGGUCACGGUCCGUGAUCCACCAAUGCACUCAGUCACGUUCUGCCCAGUCAUCUCCAGGUGGAUACCUCCUGGGUGGCUCCCUUCUUGGUCAUGCACAUCGAAGAAUGCAC
rnacentral:lncRNA from 1 species